AGCCGCGGUUAUACGGUUGGCUCAAGUUGAUGGCUGUCGGCGUAAGGUGUGGUUAGGAGACAAUUUGAACUAGAGCUGUAUGGACCCCGAGCCGUCUAAGGUUUAGAACGGGUAAGAAAGUCAAUAACGAAAGUAGCUUUAUCUAGUCUGAUGCCACGAAAACUGGGAGA
rnacentral:rRNA from 1 species